UCAAUUUGUCUUCAUUAUUGCAUUUUUCUAGCCGCCUUUUCAUCGACGAAAAUAAGAAUAUAUCUGUUUCAUCGAAAUCACCGAUAGUACCCUUGAUGGUUGUCUUUGACACUUCUAACUGUAUGAAUUGCGAACACACACACAGAAUGCCAGAGCUCGUGAUCAUGAUAAUCUUGGUCCUCGUAGCCUUUGCUUGGAUUGGAGCAAACGUCAACAAUCUUCUGUUGAUGUACUUGGCCGCUCUUCUCAUUGCCAUUUGGACUGGUCUGCAUGGUAAACACGUCAAGAUCAUCAGCCGGAAAACUGUAUGCGGCAAACCGAAGCUGCAGUAGAGAGCCGAUCGCUUCUUAUACACCACAUACAUAAGAUCAUCGACUUGCCAUCAUAUGUGCCGAAAUAAACUAGAGAUUGUUGUUAUACUUUGCUCAUCGACACUAUGCCACUGCUACAUUCGAAGGAUGCGAAUAUAUUCUCCAGGGAGACUGUAGCGAUUCUGCAGCACUUGGAUAUGAAGCGAACCUAGAACGAAUGUUUCCGCUCAACAACAACCACUUAACAAUUACUUAUUACUAAUUACAUACAGGCUUCGAUCCAUUCAAUUUUGAAAUUCAAUAAAACGCAAAAUCGCUAAAAUUCCACGAACUAAAACAUGGUGUACGGGUCUUAUGACUAGCAACUAAUAUUCAGAAUGGCUCGUAUGUAUAUGAACAUGGUAUAUGAAUAAUGAAGAUAUGUAUGAUUUCCUGUCAUGGAUUUUGUACAUUUUUUUAUUUGAGUCGCUGGACCUCAUAAAGAGCUUUCGAAUGCAUUGAAUUUCAAUUGUUUAUGAAUAAAAUGUACAAAUAACACAAGCAGCAGGUUGACGAAGACUGACUCAAGUGUUGCAGCAUGCGUACAAGCUGGUACAGAAUCGUGCGUUACCCAACACUGGUGGCGGAUGGCUCUGGAACUUUCUGGAAGAUAUUGGUAAAAGAAGAAAUCGAUUGAGUGUCCACAUUUGACGACCCAUUGGCCAACCGUUUGUGUGUUCCUCACCGGGCUCAAUAAAAGCGCCCAUUGCCCACCAUCACGUCAACUGGAACCCACGAGAUGUCUUCAAUGAAACAGCUAAGCAGCUAUUUUGCCAUUUUGCGAAGCUGCUGAAUGUUAAAGAUUUAGUUGCCAGAGGUCCAGACGGAUGAAGUGCGCCUGUCACGCGCAGCCGUUGCUCAGCUCAUGGCGCGGAGCCACCGCUUUUCUACAGAUUGCUGAAGACGCUAUGGAGAAAAGCAUUGCAAUCUCGCAGCUCAUGGCUUAUAAUAUAAAGCUGUUCAUGUAUGAUACCCAGAAGAACAACUUUAUCCAUUGGCACACAUUUGAUCGAUACAUAAAGGACUAAAGGAACAUUGAUCUAUCGGUACAGCGUCCAUCAAUGAUAUACGGGAAUGGCAGCUCCCAGGAGAAACUCAACAAGAUAUUUCCCACUCUAAAAAGGAUCCGAGUCAGUCGCAUAAUGAUAGACUUGUGCGGGGAAAUCCAAAGGAAUGGUAAUCAAAGAUUUUUGCCAGUCUUAUGGCAGCUGGGAAAUGAUUACAUGGACUGUUGCAAGCGUGGAGCUGCUUUGGUAUACCCUUGCCAGACAGAGAGGCCUGACUGAUUAAAAGCCAGAAAGCAGGAGACGCUCUUAGGAUGCUGUGUUGGUCACAGGAAUACCUGAAAGUAUGCCGAAGGUGGCCAUAGGCCAAACCUCUUUCGGCCAUCGAAAUCGAUGUUGUGUAGAAGCAAAGGCUAUAGACUAUAGGUCAAACGCAUAAAACCCAAAUUUAAUAAAAAAGGCACCGUCAAUGUCUUAAAACAGUC